CUUUGUCACUGCUCCAUGCUCUGUGAUGCAGGCCUGGAACAUUCUAGAAUACAGCACACAUCUCAGUGCCCUGUUGUCUGAGGCAGUAGUGAGCUUCAGGCCUCAGAUGAUGGACACCUAUCUCCUUUCUGAGGAGAGUGAGUGAGCCACGGGUCAUCAAUUCCAUCAUUUACUUCCUGUGUGUGGCUAGGCUCCUCCUUCUGUCAUCCUUCUUCCAAAACGGAGCCAUUUGCUACCAGUCUUCAGAAUAAAGGAGACAUCAACCAGAUUAGGGCCUGUAGUGUAUCUUUCCUUGGAACCCAGGAUGAGAUACAGGCCCUCGCCCUGACUGAAAUUCAACACCUGAAAUGAUACUGGUUGCGGAAGCAGCUGGGACGUUUGUGGGUCACCCUCUGUUGUCCAAAGAUCUCAGGAAGCCUUAAUCCUCUGGCUCGCAACUAUUGCCCAUCCAGCCUGGGCUCCCAGGCCUAUGUGGCUGGUCUCCAUCCUUUCAGAAAGAUUUCUUUUCAGCAACAAGAUCCAAAAGCAACUGGAGCACCGGAGUUCAGAGGGGACUCAUCCACCUCCAGUGGAUCUUGACCCUCAGAAUAUCAGUCUCUAGCACAGACACAGCCUCCAAGAAAAUAACCAGGAUUUCUUAGCCAAAGGGCAAACAUAGACUCUCACCCCACUCGGAGUUUAAAGGCCAAAAGGACAAGGUCCUAAGGAAGGAAUGAGUGGAGCUCCCAGAAAACUUCCUGUGAAGGGCUCAACCCAGCCCAGCUAGGAAAGGACCUGGGGGGGGCCUAAGAGAGAAGCUAUAAUGGAGUUUGUAAAGCUACCCAGUAAGGGGUCCAGGGUCCGACUGAAGAGGAGGCUAAAAGUGAUCUGGUUGACCAAGGAGCAAAUGACUUAUUAAAGGUUCCAAGGGAGACCACACAACUGAAAAAUGCCCUAAAGGUACACAUGGGCAAGAAGUUGGGGCAGACCAAUCAGGAUCUUGUCUGAGUCAGUUGUGAAUGGUCCUUGGCUCACUGCCUACUCUACACUGCCCCCUCCUGGGGAGUUCCAUAUAGCUUAGAAACCAGAAAUUGGGUCCCCUUCUUAGGUUAGGAACCUCAUAAAUCACUCUUAGAUUUUCUUCCCUGUUCAGGAGUUCAGUAGGUCCUAGCUGUUCUUAGUUUAUGGUUUUAUAUGUGGCAGAAGUCAGAUGUGCCUCUCAGGGUCCUUGAAUCCAUUAAAGCAUUUAAGUUGAGAGAUGUCCAAUCCUAGCCUCUUCCCUUGUCUGCCUUUCCCCCCUCAAGCACCCAUGUUUCAAGGUAGGACUCAUAGCCAAAGUUACCAAGCAGUCCUGGGAAACAAGGUCAUCACCCUCAGUAGUCCUCUCUCUGCCCUAGUGCCUCUGAGUGUGGAAGUCCAGAAGACCCUGAGAUAGUCCCCCUCCGAUAUUGAUCAUGGGCUCACACAGGGCCUUCAGACUGGAGAAGAUGGCAGACACACUUUUCAGCCCCUCACACUCAGCAUUGUGGACACAAUGUGGCACAGUGGUGCUGCAGUUGGGGCUAAUGGAUGCAGCCCAGAGCCAACUUACAGGUGAAGCAAUGGCAGAAAAUGAGCCAAGGGAUAUGGUGAUCAAACCAUCCCAGCUUGCCUGGGAGUGAGGGGUUCCCUGGGACACAGGACUUUCUGUUCUGAAGUCAGGAAAGUCCCAGGCAAACUAGGAUGAGUUGGUCAUCCUACCAAUGGAUGAGAGUGGGCGUUGUGCCCUAAGAGGCUCCAGCCAUAGAAUAACAAUGCCCCUGAUGCAGAGAACAGAGGGAAGAGGAGGUCCUGAGGGAAGAGAAGGUCUAGAAGGGAGAAGCUCACCAAAGAAAUAGAUCAUCUUCUCUAAGGUGAAUUUCCAUUUUAAAAAAAGGAUACUAGAAAUUAAUUUAGGAAUCUCUUAAAGAGUUGAAGAUUGCAGGGAAAUAGGUAAGGUUGAAGAGUCCCCAGCUCCUAAGCUAAAAUCAGGAGACCACCUCGGAAACAGUGAACUGAGAGACUCGCAAAGUUCAAUGGAGAUCAGGGUAGGCUAAGGUCUCCUGUGUCCUUAAAGAGCAGAUUUCUGGUCAAGUAAAGCUUGAAAGAGCCAGUGGGCCAGCCUUGGAAAAGACUCCCACCUGAGUACAGAGACAUUCCUGUGUGAUACUCAUUGCUGCACUGCUUGGACUCAAAUAAUGACAGUAGGGGAAUUGUCAAAUGGUUACUAAAACUAUGUCAUAUCCACUAUUUUAAAAAGGUCAAUCUAUACGAAUUGACAUGGAAAGAUUUGCAGGACAUGGUAGGUAAAAAAUUCAAACUGUACAAUGAUGCUGUUGACAUAACUGUGUUAUUUUGAAACAAAUGUAAGACAAACAUAAAUAUAAAUUCUGAUAGAUUACAGCCCAAACUCUUGACAGAGUUUACAAAGGGACUGGAAGUGGGGAGUGACUCCCAAUGGCAUUCCCCAGUG
ensembl:lncRNA